rnacentral:lncRNA from 1 species
AAAUUAAAUCCUCUACGUUUUCAUUUAAUUUACUGCACAGACUGAGGGAGUAAGAGAGAGCAUUAAAUGUGAUAUGGGGAGGUGGGUUGCAGAGAUAAGAAAGCAAUGAAAGAGAGGGCAGGAAAAAAAAAGACAAUUGCAGCGAUAAACUCAAGCAAUUAAGUAACCUUCUCGCUACUCAGCAAUCUAUUUAAUGGCCUUGUCGUCCCCCAUUAAUGCUCUCUUUGCAAUUUCUUCCUCAUCAUUUAUUGUUAGCCCCUCUCUCUCU